ACGAUAGCCUGAAACUAAAAAACUAAAUGUAAUACCCAACCUUCCUAAAAAAAAAAAAAAUUCACGCUCUCUCAACACUCAAUCUCUAUCCAAGCUCGGCAAUCCUGGAAAUCACAUAGUAUUCAAGCUCAAAUUCGUGAUUUCUUCGUCCGUGUCUCUUUUUCUCUCAAUCAAAGCUCGGUGUUCUCUUCGUGACUUCGUCUCUCUCGGUCACGGUGUGUUUUCUUCGUCUCUCAAUCGCAUUGAUAAUAAUUGAAAACUCAAAAAUCGAAGGUAUCCUCUCAUCUCGACUCCAACACCGCUGAUUCCACUAGUUUGAUUACAGUUGUCCUUUGUUUUGAAAAACAAAAGAAGGGUAAAAGAGCAAAAAUUGUGUCCAAAUUCGACAGCUAGUCCACGUUUUGAAGAGAGAAUUAUUUCAAGAUUUGGCUCCAUUUUACAGAAAAGGAGCUAGGGUUGCGUGAACUGAAGCCACAGGACCACUUUGCAACUUAGCAAACAAAGGGUACGUGCUAAGAAUAUCCUGUUUACAUAGCAUAUACCAGAAUUGUCUGAUUUUUUUUAUCAGGUAUAUAUAGAUAUGAACACCCGAAACUAUUCAUCAACGAAAUGGAUCAAGCGUAUGCAUAUAUGCAUGGUUGCAUUACUGGGCAAUUAGUCCUUUGGCAGUUAACCACUCACCUGCACUUCAUACACGUACGUGAUUUAGUUCACAAGGCAGAGACGUUCAUUGCCAAAGGAUAUUUGCCCGGCAAUUCAGCUGUGCAAUCAUUCAGUCACCUUAGAUAUAUAUCAAACCCAAGGUAAUGUUUCUAUAAUACCAAGGCACUAGUUGUUACUGACAUACACGCAUUAACCUUUUUCUCUCUCCUUUUCUUAGGGUAACUAGGUCAUAUCUGUACAUGUAUAACAGUCAAACACGUGGUUGCACAUACACGCACAUGGUGUCUAAUUUUCUCUUUGCAUUCACAAUUACAAGCAAGAGAAACGCGAACAAAGUUUAACAUUUUUGCAAUACGGUGGUGCUAGGGAUACUAUCGAUUUUUCUCCAUAGGUAUUGCACACCAAUAUAUCACCAAUUACAAAAAGUAAGUUAAACACUUAUUUAUUAUCUUGUUAAAGUGAUUCCAAAUAAAUUUAUUGUCAAUUUAUAAGUUUAUUAUACUAAAAUUUCUAUUAACUUUAUUCUGUAAUAUAUAU